UCCGCAUAGAUGAUCCCCAUUCAAUUUCCGAAUUUAGACAUAGAAAUCGGCAGGGUUGGUUCGCCACCAAUGGCGACGUCGUGCCUUCGUGUUCUGUCGCCGGUCGGGCGCCGUGGUGAGAGAGAGAGAGGAUUGGGGGGGAGAAAAAUGAAGGGCUUGGGCUGUUGGAUCAUACACGGACGGCGCCGAUCUAACCGCGCAUACCCCUUCGCUCAAUAGGAUUUGGGCCGUAGAUCUGAGAUCAAGCGAUCAGGAUUUGAUCAUAGUCAUUCUUAAUCUGGACUGACGAUCUUUAAUCCGGUGGUCCUCAUGGCUGACCGGAUCAUUUUUAAUGAAGUCUAAUCCUGGCCGCGGAAUUUAGAUCUGACGGCUGAAGUCAGCCCGUACCCCUUCGGCCGGGGAUAAUUGCACGUGAGCCCUCAUAAAACUAUCAAAUAAACCCGUCGUCCACUCACGUGGAAAACUAAUUAAAUCUAGGUCCUGAGUUUCACAGUUUAGACCCUGUGUUUUCUAGAAAUUGUGUUCGCAGGCCAGAAUUAAUAGGGAUAUUCAUAAUUAAAUCAGAAAAUGAUUUUUUUAUAAAAAUAAAUCUAGGAACUUGUUUAAUUCAUAGUUAAUUCAUUUUAGCUCCAGAUUGAGUUAUUCCAGUUGCAAUAAUUUUGUUUUAAUAUUAUCUAUCAUCUAGUGCUUCUGUUUAGCCA
rnacentral:lncRNA from 1 species